rnacentral:rRNA from 1 species
GCGUGCGGUUUAAUUGGAUUCAACGCCGGAAAACUCACCAAAGCCGACUGUUAGAUGAAGACCAGCGUAACGAGCUUGUCGGAUUUUCAGAGAGGUAGUGCAUGGCCGUCGUCAGUUCGUACCGUAAGGCGUUCUGUUAAGUCAGAUAACGAACGAGACCCCCAUCGUCAUUUGCUAAUCCGUUCUCAGGAACGGACGCACUAUGGCGAGACCGCUGGCGUGAAGUCAGAGGAAGGCGGGGGCAACGGUAGGUCAGUAUGCUCCGAAUGCUUUGGGCUACACGCGCGCUACAAAGGACGGGACAAUGGGCUGCAACACCGAGAGGUGACGCUAUCCCGAAACCCGUUCGUAGUUCGGAUCGUGGGCUGUAACUCGCCCUCGUGAAGCUGGAUUUCGUAGUAAUCGCGUCUCAAAAUGGCGCGGUG